AAAUUGAAGAGUUUGAUCAUGGCUCAGAUUGAACGCUGGCGGCAGGCCUAACACAUGCAAGUCGAACGGUAACAGGAAGCAGCUUGCUGCUUCGCUGACGAGUGGCGGACGGGUGAGUAAUGUCUGGGAAACUGCCUGAUGGAGGGGGAUAACUACUGGAAACGGUAGCUAAUACCGCAUAAUGUCGCAAGACCAAAGAGGGGGACCUUCGGGCCUCUUGCCAUCG
rnacentral:rRNA from 2 species